AACGAACGCUGGCGGCAGGCCUAACACAUGCAAGUCGAGCGCCCGCAAGGGAGCGGCGGACGGGUGAGUAACGCGUGGGAACGUGCCCUUUGCUACGGAAUAGCCUCGGGAAACUGAGAGUAAUACCGUAUGUGCCCUUCGGGGGAAAGAUUUAUCGGCAAAGGAUCGGCCCGCGUUGGAUUAGGUAGUUGGUGGGGUAAUGGCCUACCAAGCCGACGAUCCAUAGCUGGUUUGAGAGGAUGAUCAGCCACACUGGGACUGAGACACGGCCCAGACUCCUACGGGAGGCAGCAGUGGGGAAUAUUGGACAAUGGGCGCAAGCCUGAUCCAGCCAUGCCGCGUGAGUGAUGAAGGCCUUAGGGUUGUAAAGCUCUUUCAGUAGGGAAGAUAAUGACGGUACCUACAGAAGAAGCCCCGGCUAACUUCGUGCCAGCCGCCGCCGUAACAC
rnacentral:rRNA from 1 species